CUGGUGUCAGCCGCCGCGGUAAUACCAGCACCCCGAGUGGUCGGGACGAUUAUUGGGCCUAAAGCAUCCGUAGCCGGUUCUGCAAGUCCCCCGUUAAAUCCAGCUGCUCAACAGAUGGGCCGCGGAGGAUACUACAGAGCUAGGAGGCAGGAGAGGCAAGCGGUACUCAGUGGGUAGGGGUAAAAUCCGUUGAUCCAUUGAAGACCACCAGUGGCGAAGGCGGCUUGCCAGAAUGCGCUCGACGGUGAGGGAUGAAAGCUGGGGGAGCAAACCGGAUUAGAUACCCGGGUAGUCCCAGCCGUAAACGAUGCAGACUCGGUGAUGGGUUGGCUUCGCGCUAACCCAGUGCCGCAGGGAAGCCGUUAAGUCUGCCGCCUGGGUAGUUCGGUAAGGAAGACUGAAACUUAAAG
rnacentral:rRNA from 2 species